rnacentral:rRNA from 1 species
GACGAACGCUGGCGGCGUGGAUUAGGCAUGCAAGUCGGACGGUAGGGCUUUAUCGUAAGAUAGAGUUUGAGAGUGGCGAACGGGUGAGUAACACGUAGGAAUCUACCCUUAAGACGGGGACAACCCAGGGAAACUUGGGCUAAUACCGGAUGAGAGUGCGAGAGAUUGCAUUUAAAAGGAUGGCGAAAGUUGUCGCUUAGGGAUGAGCCUGCGGUCUAUUAGUUAGUUGGUGAGGUAAGAGCUCACCAAGGCGAUGAUAGGUAGGCGGCCUUAACGGGUGGUCGCCCACACUGGGAUUGAGAUACGGCCCAGACUCCUACGGGAGGCAGCAGUCGAGAAUAGUCUACAAUGGUCGGAAGACUGAUAGUGCGACGCCGCGUGAACGAUGAAUCCCUUCGGGGUGUAAAGUUCUUUUAUAUGUGAGCAGUGCUUCUUAUAUUAACAGUAUGGGGAGAGAGAUAUUAGCAUAUGAAUAAGCAACGGCUAACUCCGUGCC